rnacentral:lncRNA from 1 species
AAACAGACCAAUGGGCUCUCUGUAAAAUGGACCAAUCAGCAGGAUGUGGGUGGGGCCAGAUAAGAGAAUAAAAGCAGGCUGCCGGAGCUAGCGGUAGCAACCCGUUUGGUUAUCUUUCUGUGCUGUGGAAGGUUUGUUCUUUCACUCUGCACUAUUUUGCAAUAAAUAUUGCUAUUGCUCACUUUGGGUUUAUAUUGCCUUUAUGAGCUGUAACACUCACCAUGAAGGUCUGCAGCUUUACUCUUGAAGCUUAGCGAGACCACUAACCCACCAGAAGGAAGAAACUCCGGACACGCCGCCUUUAAGAACUGUAAUACUCAGUGCGAGGGUUCACGGCUUCAUUCUUGAGGGAGUGCAGAGGAGGAGUCCGUUUGGUGAGUGGAAUUUGUGACGUCCCGCAUUUGAGGUCCCUGGAACUCAGCGGCAAGGUCUGGACACGUGUCGUCGCGGGCACAGAAGGUGCGGCACGAAGACCAGCUCUUAUCCAGAGGCAGAGGAAGAGGACCAUCAAAUUGGAGCAAUUUUGAUGACACAUUCAUUAAAAUUUGUUGAAUUGUACACUUAAAGUGGUGAAUAUUAUGAUGUUUAAGUUAUACCUCAUUAAGGUUGCUUUUUUUUUUUUCUUUCAAAGAAAGACAACGAGGAGGGAGCAGCUAGAGGGGUGGAAAUGGGAUCACGUGACCUUGCGAGAAGCAGGGAGAGAGAACACUGCGUCUGCUCCCUUUUAGAACAGCUCAAUAUAGGGAAUCCCUAACAGAGGACUUCCAGGAUAUCCUAGGGACAGCAGAGCCUCAAGAUCCAGGGAGGAUCCUGGAUACCUGAGUCACCACUUGGAGGGGAAUCUCCUGGAAGAACUGAUUGAUCAGCAACAUCUACAUUCAACUUGAGGUUGUUCCGUAAGACAGGAUGGCACAGAGCUUUAAGCAACAGCUCUGGCAUCUGACUUCCGUGUUUGCAUCUGGCUUUGAGUGUGACUUUGGACAAGUUCCUUAGCUGGCCAGAUACUCUUGUCCUCAUCCAUAAGAUGGAGCAACAACGAAGCCUUUCUCAUAGGUUAUUGUGAGGAUUGAAUGAAUUAGUAUAUGCCAAGCAUUUGAAGCAGUGCCUGACAUGUAGUAGAUGCUGAGUAACACUGGGGAUCUGCCUUUUCUUUUUCCUCUAUGUGACUGGCAGCCUUAGCCAGACCACAUCAGCUGAGAUGAUUUUCUCUGUAAGUUACCAGGAUCACCUAGAUCUGGCCAAGGACUUGCCCCUGUAAGGAAAUUUGGAAUAAGCAAAAAAGAUCACUAGGUGUCGCCGAUGGAAAACUAGGUUGUUUUGAGCAUACCUUUGCAUGUUAUCUGAUUUUAGCCUUUCAGGGUCUUUGAGCUAUUUUAUGGCUCUGUAGGUUGUACAUAACUGAUAGCAAUGCAAAAUAAUUCUUGUCUAUAGACAUGCAAAUAAAUCCUGUCCAGCGGUUCAAUUGACUACCCUCUUCCCUAAGGAAAAAGCCAGUUUCAGUCUAUUUGUAAAUUCAUUUCCACUUUCCUUACUCCCUAUAAAUUUCUGCUUUUCAGAUUUCUCCUUUGUUAACGUCUGCCUGGUUCCCUCAUUAAGUCAAAUAAAAUCUUUAACACGUUAAAGUAUGAGAGUCAUGAUCUCACCUGUUUUAGGAAAAUUAUCUUUUAAUACU